UGUGUUUGUGUGAAUAUUAGCAUGGCUUAGUAGAUGCUGUUGCUAUCUAGUAAAUAGGAUAUCACAGCAUUUUACUGAGCCCUGCUAAAACGGGACAAA
rnacentral:pre_miRNA from 1 species